GUGCUGACCUGAUGGUAUUCAACUGGAGCGGAAUAUCCAGAAACACAGUUUCUGACAUUCACAGUUUCCAAGAUUCUUCCAUUUAAAAGAAAAAGGGGAAACAAAGGGAAGCUGCAAGAGCAGUCAUGAGCCCCUCUUCAGCAGAGUGCGUCAUUUCCAGUGCCUGGAGCAGCCAGCAGAGAGACAUGCUCACCACAGUGGAACACCACUUUUGGGCUCAGGA